CAUUUUUCAGAUAGAUCAUCGGAUUUUGACAGUAUGGUGUACAUACCAGAUGUUCCAAAAAUAACUACAGACAACAAUAAUGAAUUUCACCGGAGAAUAGCAGUGAUGACUAGAGAACAUCUUGAACGUGAGUACCAGAAAGCACGUGCUGCAAUGAUACAAAGAAAUGAGUACUUGAAGAGACUCUUAAACGUGGAGGAACCAAACUCAAUAAAGGUGACAAACAAGAAACAG